rnacentral:rRNA from 1 species
UACGUAGGGUGCGAGCGUUAAUCGGAAUUACUGGGCGUAAAGCGUGCGCAGGCGGUUAUAUAAGACAGAUGUGAAAUCCCCGGGCUCAACCUGGGAACUGCAAUUGUGAAUGUAAAGAUAGAGUGCGGGCGAGGGGGGUGGAAUUCCGCGUGUAGCAGUGAAAUGCGUAGAUAUGCGGAGGAACACCGAUGGCGAAGGCAAUCCCCUGGGCCUGCACUGACGCUCAUGCACGAAAGCGUGGGGAGCAAACAGGAUUAGAUACCCUGGUAGUCCACGCCCUAAACGAUGUCAACUGGUUGUUGGGUCUUCACUGACUCAGUAACGAAGCUAACGCGUGAAGUUGACCGCCUGGGGAGUACGGCCGCAAGGUUG